rnacentral:rRNA from 1 species
GGAUCUUCCGCAAUGGACGAAAGUCUUUGUUAGGGAAGAACAAGUGCAAGAGUAACUGCUUGCACCUUGACGGUACCUAACCAGAAAGCCACGGCUAACUACGUGCCAGCAGCCGCGGUAAUACGUAGGUGGCAAGCGUUGUCCGGAAUUAUUGGGCGUAAAGGGCUCGCAGGCGGUUUCUUAAGUCUGAUGUGAAAGCCCCCGGCUCAACCGGGGAGGGUCAUUGGAAACUGGGAAACUUGAGUGGAGAAGAGGAGAGUGGAAUUCCACGUGUAGCGGUGAAAUGCGUAGAGAUGUGGAGGAACACCAGUGGCGAAGGCGACUCUCUGGUCUGUAACUGACGCUGAGGAGCGAAAGCGUGGGGAGCGAACAGGAUUAGAUACCCUGGUAGUGCCACGCCGUAAACGAUGAGUGCUAAGUGUUAGGGGGUUCCGCCC